CUUACUUCUUGCAUAGGACUUAAGUGCACUCAAAAAAGUCAACUAAGGCAGUUGUUUGAUUAAUUCAAUAGACAUUUGUCUAUUUAACAUGAACAUAUUGAGUUUAGGUUUUUAAAUCAUUAUCAGUUGUUGGUUUAACAUAAAAUAACAAAAAGUUUAAUGAACUAGAUUUGCAUUCUUCAGUUCAAUUAAAUGUAAUUAUUUUAAAUCAACAACUCUAAAACCGAUGCCUAGUGCGCAUGCUCAAACUUCCCAAAAGUGAAGAGGCGGGAACGCGGAGAAGUUAUAUGUGUUCAGUGGACUGCCAUUUCCCUCUGCGGAAUCUUCCACAAUACAGUAACACCACAAAGAAAGCUGACCCCUUUUUCUGAUUGUUUGUGCCUCCUCUUUAAUACAUGUGACUUGUAUGUGGCAGUGCAAGCGUUGUUCCAUCAGGGAGAGUAGUAGAUUGAGAAGGAGUUUCUGCGAAUCACCACAAAGCCUCUGCUAUCUACUUUCUUUGCCGAGCUUGACCAAUACGCGGCACGCUUAAUGGAAAUCUUUCUGACCAAAGGAGGGACACGUGGAAAGAAAAUAAGAGGUCUCAUGCUUGCCAUCUCCAAGCAUGACAACAUCCAUACCAGACGAGCAUGCAUCUUGAAGUCUUUGUGCAUCCACCUAAACGAAGACUAUGAGAAGUUAAUAAAGGAGUACUUGGAUACGGACAGCGAGGCAAAAGCUGCAU